GACGAACGCUGGCGGCGUGCUUAACACAUGCAAGUCGAACGGAAAGGCCCUGCUUUUGUGGGUUGCUCGAGUGGCGAACGGGUGAGUAACACGUGAGUAACCUGCCCUUGACUUUGGGAUAACUUCAGGAAACUGGGGCUCAUACCGGAUAGGAGCUCCUGCUGCAUGGUGGGGGUUGGAAAGUUUCGGCGGUUGGGGAUGGACUCGCGGCUUAUCAGCUUGUUGGUGGGGUAGUGGCUUACCAAGGCUUUGACGGGUAGCCGGCCUGAGAGGGUGACCGGCCACAUUGGGACUGAGAUACGGCCCAGACUCCUACGGGAGGCAGCAGUGGGGAAUAUUGCACAAUGGGCGGAAGCCUGAUGCAGCAACGCCGCGUGCGGGAUGACGGCCUUCGGGUUGUAAACCGCUUUCGCCUGUGACGAAGCGUGAGUGACGGUAAUGGGUAAAGAAGCACCGGCUAACUACGUG
rnacentral:rRNA from 1 species